rnacentral:tRNA from 1 species
UGGCGGGCGGGGCGGAGACCGACCUCGCCGCCCUGCGGGCGGCGCUCGCCGCCGACCUGCCGUCCUACCUGGUGCCCGCCGCC